GAAUUAGAAAAACGACGUCGUUUUGAUUAAAUUGAAAACGGUGCGUUUUCAAUUUAAUCUGCAUCAGAAACCACACUAACACACUCUCUCACUUUCCUAUUGACAAACCACAGACUCCAACACAAAUAGCAAUCACGCCCACAAAUAGCAAUCACCCAACGGUCAUGCGAACAGCCAGCACAGACGACGGACGAGCCCACAGACGACGGACCACCGCCAUCACGCGAUCGAGGGAGUAGAACUCACGUGGUGGUGCGUCCAAACUCCGAUGAAAUCGACGACGAUGGAGGUGGUUGGAGCCGCGGUUCUUUCGAGCUAAAUUUCCGGCGUUCUUGUUGGUUUUCGGCGACAAGGAUGGCAAGGAAACGACGGCCGACUUCCAAGCUUCAGAUCAAUACCUUGAUCGGCCGGUAGAGUGGCCGGGAUCGUGAAAUCCAACCGGGUCACGUUUGCGGGUCAGGUCGGGUUUGCGGGUCAAACCGGGUCAACUUCUCUCCCUCCUCAUCCACUCACAAAGCGCCACACGGCUCCCCUUGGCCAGGUUGUUGUUGUUGGAAUUUUUUUUGCUGGAAGCGUUAUUGGUGCUGGAAUUGAUGCUGGAGUUGUUGCUGCUGGAAUUUUUUUUGCUGGAAGUGUUACUGGUACUGGAGUUGGUGCUCGAAUUGUUGCUGCAAUUUUUUUUUUUUUUGUAUUUGUAUGUGUGAACUCCUAAUUGUUUUUUUAUUAUUUUGGGCACUUGUUGCUGCUGAUAUGUGUGUGUGUGAAAUUGCUUACUGGCUGGAAUACAACAACAAGUCUUGCUGCUGGAAUUGUUUCUGCUGUUAGUGUUGCUGCUGCUGGAAUUCACAUUCAAAUGCUCACGGUUUGCUAGAUCAAGAUUCAUAAAUUAAAAUGAAACAACUUAACAAAUUAAUAUAAGAACAAUACAUACUUACGGGUUUUGCAAUGUAGAGGUUCAACACUUUCACGAACCAAUUGCCGUUUUGUAGAGCCGGCACUACACAGCUGCAAUGAAUUGAAGAAGCGACGUCGUUCGAUUUAAGUGAUCGUUUUAAAACUCACGCACACGUGCUGCGCAA
rnacentral:lncRNA from 1 species